GGAUGAUAGUAGGUUGUAAAGAUCACUUAUUGGAUUAAAGAGGGGUAGGGAGAAGCACAAUGUUCUGAAUGUCUGAUCCUAUUGAAAAUGGAGAAAGGUCAGGAAAAGAAUAUCUUGGCAGUGAGAAGAGUUGGUCUUUGGUUUUCAAACAAUGAAAAUAGAGAAUUAUGCAUCAGAAUGAGGACAAUUGGCAAAUGAAGGUAGCCCGUAGGAAAGGAAAUUCCAGUAGAACUCUGAAUUAUUAUAAAGGGAAAAUGUAACGAAUAUCUACUUGAUCAAAUAAGAAAAGAAAAAAGAGGAAAAUCAGCAAUAAAUUGGAGCAAAGUAAUAGCACCAGAGGGUAUGAGAGGCAAGUUCACUCACAUGAAGUGCUUGGAGCAUGUAGUUAGGUGAGUUAGCAUCAUCUUCUUCUUCUACCUCCCACUCUUCCUCCUCCAACUCCUCCUCCUCCUUAUCACUUCAAUAAAUAUGAAUGGAUUGAAUUGUUGUACUGAAAAACAGAAACUCCCAGACUGGAAUUUUAAAAACAAUUCAGUUAUAUACUGUCCCUCAGAAAAACACUUGGAGUGAAAAUGAUUAGCUUAAAGUAAAGGGAGAAGAAGCAUCUCAGCAGGUAAAUGCUAACAAUCAAUCAAUCAAUCAAUAAAAAGGAUAAAAUUAAUGUUAUAAAAGUUUAACUUGAAAGGUAUGGAAAAAAGAUAAAAGAAGCACAGUUAUGUAAAACUGGAAAGCAUAAUUUAUG
rnacentral:lncRNA from 1 species